AUAUGUAACCUUAACAUUUGUAUCCCCAUAAUAUGCUGAAAUUAAAAAAUUCUAAAAAAAUUAAAAUAAAGUCAAGUCAGUAAGCAGGCAGUUUUUCCUGGAUAUGUGACUAUAAUUUGCAGUACAAUAAAAAAGAAACUAUCCAGGAUCGCUCUGUCUUCUAAGAGAACAGACAGCAAGUUUAUCAUGCCUAAUGCAGGAUUUAUUCUCCUUUCCCUUUAAAAUAUUCUCAAAAUAUCUUAUACCCAAUACUAAACCAAUAAAAGGCCACAAACAUACCCAAAAGACUUAUGGUGGUAGGAGUAGGCAAGCUAAGGAGCAUGGCCUGCUGCUCUCCCCACCAUGGUUUGUGCACAUCCACUGGUAUCAGUAUACUCCAAAAAGAGGAUGUCACCCGGCAAAAAUGUCACUUUGCCUGCUGUGUUAAAGCAGAUACUGUGAACUUUGUUCACACCAACUUGCACAAAACAGACAGCCCUAUAUUAUUAGUGAAUUAGCAGGUUAUUAGAUCAGUGCUGAGUCUUGGGGUAUUGGCAGAGCUGUGGCUGGAAUUCCCAGAGUUCAAGGUGGAGAAAUUCACCAUUCUGGCCAACAUACUUGCAGAAAUAUGUGUCAUAGAGGUCACAUGUUUGCAUCAACCAACACCUGGCACCACUGGCACCAUAGAGUGAAUACAACCCAAAAGCAAUAUGCCAUCUGCUCUACCCUAGCUGCCUGGGCCUUAGCAGGACUGGUCAUGCCUAAAUGUCAUCUUACUGAGGAAGUUCCUUUGGUGUUGAAGAUAAAGUUGAAGGUACAAAGACCAAGAAGGCUGUUUUGCCUCUUCAGAAACUUUAGGCCUGGAAUCAUAUUAAAAAAGGUCUAUGCCUCUCAGCAAAUGUGAGCUGACAAGGGCAAAAUGAGACACUGUUGUAUCCAGCACAGGAGACCCUGCAUCAUCUAUAAUGAGGACAAUGGCAUCAUCAAGGCCUUCAGAAACGUCCCUGGAAUUACUCUGCUUAUGCAAGCAAAGAUGAACAUUUUGAAACUUGCUUCUGGUGGGCAUGUGGGAUGUUUUUGGAUUUGAACCAAAAGUGUUUUCUAAAAGUUAAAUGAAUUGCAUGGCAUUUGGCAUAAAGCUGCUUCCCUCAAGAGUAACUACAACCUUCCCAUGAACAAGAUGAUCAACACAGAUAUUAAAAGAAUCUUGAAAAGCCCAGGGAUUCAAAGAGCUCUUCCAGCACCAUGCAAGAAAAUUCAACACAGAGUCCUGAAGAAGAAUUCACUGAAAACCUGAGAGUCAUGUUGAAGCUAGACCCACAUGCAAAGACCAUUCUUCACCCGGCCAGAAAUCACAAAUUUAAGGCUGUUGGUAUUAAGAAGCAGAAGCAAGCUUUGAUGGGAAAAAAGGCUGCAGCUACCAAGAAACCAGCAGCUAAAAAGAAGGCAGCAGGAAAGAAAUCUACUAAAGAAGAAAAGAAGCCUGCUGCAUAAACUUAAAUUUGUUUAUUCCAUGAAGGUCAAAUCAUUUUGGAUAGCUUAUAUUGAAUAAAGACCUAAUCAAAGAGGCAGUGAGGAA